GCCUAACACAUGCAAGUCGAACGGAAAGGUCUCUAAAAAAUUUUUAGAGAUACUCGAGUGGCGAACGGGUGAGUAACACGUGGGCAAUCUACCCUGCACUUUGGGAUAAGCCUGGGAAACCGGGUCUAAUACUGGAUAGGACCUUGAGACGCAUGUCUUGUGGUGGAAAGCUUUUGCGGUGUGGGAUGAGCCCGCGGCCUAUCAGCUUGUUGGUGGGGUAACGGCCUACCAAGGCGACGACGGGUAGCCGGCCUGAGAGGGUGUCCGGCCACACUGGGACUGAGAUACGGCCCAGACUUCUACGGGAGGCAGCAGUGGGGAAUAUUGCACAAUGGGCGCAAGCCUGAUGCAGCGACGCCGCGUGAGGGAUGACGGCCUUCGGGUUGUAAACCUCUUUCACCAUCGACGAAGGUUCGGGUUUUCUCGGGUUGACGGUAGGUGGAGAAGAAGCACCGGUCAACUACGUGCCAGCAGCCGCGGUAAUACGUAGGGUGCGAGCGUUGUCCGGAAUUACUGGGCGUAAAAGCUCGUAGGUGGGUU
rnacentral:rRNA from 1 species